rnacentral:misc_RNA from 1 species
GACUCCACUAAUCACAUUAGUUCAUCUUUGUGUUGCAACUUUAAAGUGCAAAAAUUCGACAUAUUUACAACCAUUAAGAAUGAUUACAACAAUUCAGUAUUCGGGCAUAGGAAGGAGAAAGUUCAUUCAGUAACCAAACAGAUAUAGGAAUACAAGAAAUCCAACAAGCAAGAACAUAAACUUCAGAUUGUUAUCUGCUUGUCCUUGGGAUGGGUGCGCAGCGGCAUUGUGAACAUUCACCCCAUGAUAUGCAGGAGGAUACCCAAAUGCGUAAUUUGGAGCUGCACCAAAUGCAGCUGGACCUUGGAAUCCAUUAAACUGAAAACUGAGCAGUGAUGGGAAUAAUCCACCGAAACCAGCGGACAUUGUGAAGUUACCAAAACUUGCAGUUGCUCCUGGAAACAAUCCUCCCAUAAGACCAAACCCGGGAUUAGGAAAAGUAUUUGAUUCUGGUGGAGGCGCCGUUUCAGGUCUUUGCCCUGCUGGCCUUCUAGGAAUUUCGACCCCAGGUACCGGUUUUGAUCUGGGAUCAGUUGAAGUCCUUCCUCUUCCAUAAAGAGGAACAAGCUUUUGCUCUUGUAUUAGGGCCUUACAAACAGGGCAUUCAUGGGAUUGUGAGUGAAGCCUUAGCCAUCUAUACAGACAUGGCCAACAGUAGAGGUGACCACAAAGGGUCACAAUAGGAUCUUGUGCCAAUUCA